CGAGUGGCGAACGGGUGAGUAACGCGUGAGGAACCUGCCUCAAAGAGGGGGACAACAGUUGGAAACGACUGCUAAUACCGCAUAAGCCCACGGGUCGGCAUCGACCAGAGGGAAAAGGAGCAAUCCGCUUUGAGAUGGCCUCGCGUCCGAUUAGCUAGUUGGUGAGGUAAUGGCCCACCAAGGCAACGAUCGGUAGCCGGACUGAGGGGUUGAACGGCCACAUUGGGACUGAGACACGGCCCAGACUCCUACGGGAGGCAGCAUG
rnacentral:rRNA from 1 species